UGUCUUAAGCAUGCAAGUCGAGCGGGCUUAUUCGGGCAACUGGAUAAGUUAGCGGCGAACUGGUGAGUAACACGUAGGUAAUCUGCCGUAGAGUGGGGGAUAACCCAUGGAAACAUGGACUAAUACCGCAUAUACUCUUGACGCUAAAGCGUAGUAGAGGAAAGGAGCAAUCCGCUUUACGAUGAGCCUGCGGCCUAUUAGCCUGUU
rnacentral:rRNA from 1 species